rnacentral:tRNA from 1 species
GAUAGGUUACCCUAAUUGGUAAGGGAACAGUUUGCUAAACUGUCAUCCAUUUGGAUUUACAAGUUCGAGCCUUGUACCUAUCGCCA